AUUGAACGCUGGCGGCAGGCCUAACACAUGCAAGUCGAACGGUAACAGGAAGCAGCUUGCUGCUUUGCUGACGAGUGGCGGACGGGUGAGUAAUGUCUGGGAAACUGCCCGAUGGAGGGGGAUAACUACUGGAAACGGUAGCUAUACCGCAUAACGUCGCAAGACCAAAGAGGGGGACCUUAGGGCCUCUUGCCAUCGGAUGUGCCCAGAUGGGAUUAGCUAGUAGGUGGGGUAACGGCUCACCUAGGCGACGAUCCCUAGCUGGUCUGAGAGGAUGACCAGCCACACUGGAACUGAGACACGGUCCAGACUCCUACGGGAGGCAGCAGUGGGGAAUAUUGCACAAUGGGCGCAAGCCUGAUGCAGCCAUGCCGCGUGUAUGAAGAAGGCCUUCGGGUUGUAAAGUACUUUCAGCGGGGAGGAAGGGAGUAAAGUUAAUACCUUUGCUCAUUGACGUUACCCGCAGAAGAAGCACCGGCUAACUCCGUG
rnacentral:rRNA from 1 species